rnacentral:rRNA from 1 species
GGCUCAGGAUGAACGCUGGCGGUAUGCUUAACACAUGCAAGUCGAACGAAAGUCUUCGGAUUUUAGUGGCGGACGGGUGAGUAACGCGUGAGGAUCUGCCUAUAGGUUGGGGACAACAGAUGGAAACGUCUGCUAAUACCCAAUGUGCCGAGAGGUGAAAGCUUUAGUGCCUGUAGNUGAGCUCGCGUCCGAUUAGCUAGUUGGUAGGGUAAAGGCUUACCAAGGCGACGAUCGGCAGCUGGUCUGAGAGGAUGAUCAGCCACACUGGGACUGAGACACGGCCCAGACUCCUACGGGAGGCAGCAGUGGGGAAUUUUCCGCAAUGGGCGAAAGCCUGACGGAGCAAUACCGCGUGCGGGACGAAGGCUUUUGGGUCGUAAACCGCUUUUGUUAGGGAAGAACACAAUGACGGUACCUAACGAAUCAGCAUCGGCUAACUCCGUGCCAGCAGCCGCGGUAAUACGGGGGAUGCAAGCGUUAUCCGGAAUUAUUGGGCGUAAAGCGUCCGCAGGUGGUUUAUCAAGUCUGCUGUCAAAUCGUAGAGCUUAACCCUGUAAAGGCAGUGGAAACUGAGAGACUAGAGUACGGUAGGGGUAGCGGGAAUUCCUAGUGUAGCGGUGAAAUGCGUAGAUAUUGGGAAGAACACCCGCGGCGAAGGCGCGCUACUGGGCCGAAACUGACACUCAUGGACGAAAGCUAGGGGAGCGAAAGGGAUUAG